rnacentral:rRNA from 1 species
CAAUAGUUUGAUCAGUUACUAGUUUUUUUUAGGGUAAUGUGCCUUUUGCAUCAUGCUUAAACGAGUAAUCGAAAAAGUUUCGGUUAUCGAAAACUUCUGAUUCUAUUCUUAACUGUUUAGAACUUUAAUCGGGUAGAAGUCUAGAUUAAGAAUACGUAGUGAAAAAUUAAUCGAAGGAGUUUAUAACUAUUUUACAGCUUAAUAAUUUGAAUUACUGUGUAGGCAACGAGGUCUACAUGGAUUGUAUACACAGUGUAUAUAUAGGUUACGCUAGGGUUAAAAGUACCCCUAACUUAUUAGAUUGUUAAAAAUUUUAUUAGUUGGUGUAUGCAGUGUUACGUCUAGUGGUUGUAAAUGGUUAACAGUUUGUCAUUUAUUAUGUUUAAAUAAGUAAUAAUAAUACUUAAAUAUUAUUUCUCAAGUUUUUCCCGUCUGUUUAUUAAAAACAUUUCUAUAUUUAAAUUUAUAUAGUAGUACCUGCUCUAUGUUUAUAUAAAUGGCCGCAGUAUCUUGACUGUGCGAAGGUAGCAUAAUUAAUUGCCUCAUAAUUAGGGGCUUGUUUGAAUGGUUUGACGUGGUAAAUACAAAUAUUAUUAGUAUUUUUGAAAUUAUUACAGAGGGCACAGAAACCUCUGUAUUUAAUUAGACGGAAAGACCCCGGGAUCUUUUAAUUUUGCCUGGGGCAGGUUUAAGUGAUUCACUUUAAUUUUGACCCUUCUGGUUUAUUGAUGUAAGUUACCCCGGGGAUAACAGUGUAAUAGUUUAAUAGAGAUCCUAUCGAUUAAAUUGCUUGUUACCUCGAUGUUGACUUAGGCUUCAAUACAGGCGCAGUAGUUUGUAUUAAAGGUCUGUUCGACCUAGUAGCCUCCAUGAGUUGAGUUAAGACCGGUGUAAGCCAGGUCGGUUCUUAUCUAUUGUUCUGAUUUAUUAGUACGAAAGGACCAUAAGUCUUUUUAUU